GGGGUGCAACACGAGGACUUCCCAGGAGGUCACCCAUCCUAGUACUACUCUCGCACAAGCACGCUUAACUGCGGAGUUCUGAUGGGAUCCGGUGCAUUAGUGCUGGAAUGAUCGCACCC
rnacentral:rRNA from 1 species